rnacentral:rRNA from 1 species
AUUGAACGCUGGCGGCAGGCUUAACACAUGCAAGUCGAGCGGAGAGAAGUAGCUUGCUACUGAUCUUAGCGGCGGACGGGUGAGUAAUGCUUAGGAAUCUGCCUGUUAGUGGGGGACAACAUUCCGAAAGGGAUGCUAAUGCCGCAUACGCCCUACGGGGGAAAGCAGGGGAUCUUCGGACCUUGCGCUAAUAGAUGAGCCUAAGUCGGAUUAGCUAGUUGGUGGGGUAAAGGCCUACCAAGGCGACGAUCUGUAGCGGGCCUGAGAGGAUGAUCCGCCACACUGGGACUGAGACACGGCCCAGACUCCUACGGGAGGCAGCAGUGGGGAAUAUUGGACAAUGGGCGGAAGCCUGAUACAGCCAUGCCGCGUGUGUGAAGAAGGCCUUUUGGUUGUAAAGCACUUUAAGCGAGGAGGAGGCUCUUAAGGUUAAUACCCUUGAUGAGUGGACGUUACUCGCAGAAUAAGCACCGGCUAACUCUGUGCCAGCCGCCGCCGUAAUAC